rnacentral:misc_RNA from 1 species
CAAAGCUGCUGAAUAGUAUGCAUUAACUGCUUCACUUGUGCUCUCUUGGUUUCGUCCAUCUGCAAACUCUGUCAAUCCCCCAGCCCAAGAAUGCAACUUCCACAAGUCAAAACACCUCAGGCGGGCAUACUUUGAAUUUGAUCGCCUGCUCAAAUUCAUAAAAUCUGCCAUAAGUGCAUAAGCUUGUGGCUUAUACUUCCUCCCCCAGAUGGGCUCUAUCUUGGCUAGCACUGCAAUCGCAUAAAGGAAAUGACCAAUAUGAAAAUGGUGAUCAUUAUAGACCCCAAAACCAAAGUCAGCUCCCGAAUCCAACGCCCCUUGCUUAGUCACAAUUCCACCCCAUUUUGAUUCAUAAAAGAAACCAUUUGCUUGGAAAGUCCCCUCCAACCAUGGUUCAACUGUAUCCUUCAAGAAUUUGCAGAUUGCAGGGAUAACAUCAAGGUGACAAACCUCUUCAGCUAUCAAUGCCAGCCUUGCUGCUCUUGCAAUCAAUUUUCCAUAAAAAUAAGAUGAUGUUGUAGAUAUUCCCUUCGAAUCCAAGGAAGCAACAUCCUUAUUCAAUGCGUCAAUUAUCUCUAGAAAUGCCUCCUCCUUAACACCUUUAGUGGAAUGCCAUGUUACAGAAACAGG